AAAAAGAUAAAUCUUUGUUUCCGUGUCCAACAUUUGACCGUCCGUCUUAUUUGAAAAAAUUAUGAAAAAAUAUAAAAAGAUAAGUCACGUAUAAAGUAUUAAUCAUGUUUUAUCAUCUAAUAACAAUGAAAAUACUAAUUAUAAAAAAAUUUAUAUAAGACGGAUAGUCAAAUGUUGGACACAUAAACUCAGGUUUGUCUUUUUU
rfam:Oryza barthii chromosome 9, whole genome shotgun sequence.